AGGCCGGGCCGGGGGUAACACUCUGCGGGUCUGAUCCAGCCAUGCCUGAUAGGAACCGGAAGAGCUUGUAGGAUCUAGUUCACCGAACAUGGAACCAGGCCCGGGCCGUCGGCAGUGAAAGUGUUGGAGUGCUCAUCGCUGGGCUGCCAGGAAUUCCCCCAACCUGCUUCUUUGUCCCGUAAAUAUCCCACGCCCCUACUUUGGGGAAGCCAAUCUGAGAUCUGUCCUCCCGUCCCCUCACUUGGCUGCCUAUGAAUAAACCCUUUCUCUGCU